AUUGAACGCUGGCGGCGUGCUUAACACAUGCAAGUCGAGCGGAGCGGCGAACGGGUGAGUAACGCGUGAGUAACUGCCCCCCUCCCUGGGAUAACAGUUGGAAACGGCUGCUGAUACCGGAUAGUGGGGGAUGACUCGCGUCCUAUCAGCUUGUUGGUGGGGUAGUGGCCUACCAAGGCGACGACGGGUAGCCGGCCUGAGCUGGCGACCGGCCGCAUUGGGCUGAGAUACGGCCCAGACUCCUACGGGAGGCAGCAGUGGUGAGUAUUGCACAAUGGUGGAAACCCUGAUGCAGUAGCGCCGCGUUCGGGAUGACGGCCUUCGGGUUGUAAACCGCUUUCAGCCAUGACGCGGUAGUGGCAGAAGAAGCACCGGCUAACUACGUGCCAGCAGCCGCGGUAAUAC
rnacentral:rRNA from 1 species